rnacentral:lncRNA from 1 species
CAGACCUGGUGAUAGCAGCAGGCUCUUCUGGAAGGUUAUGUAAGUCAUAGAUUUUUAUCUUCAUUCUCAGAGGCUACAUCCCUAAAAGGUCUAGUUUGGUUUCCUAUAGAGAGAACUCCUGAUCACUGAUUUGCACAUAGCACCAUCAUGGAGAAAGUGAUGGGCUACAUCAUAUAAAAUAAACAUUAGUAUAUUUGGGGGGCCAAGUACUCUGUACACAUAUUGUCUGAAAUUAUUCUUUGUUAUGAUGACUGUGAUAGGUAAUUUUAUAUGUCUACUUUGCUAGGCUAUAAUGUCCAGUUUGGGGUUGCUGUGAAGGUGUUAUUAAAUGUGAUGAACAUUUUAAUCAAUAAACUUUGAGUGAAGCAGAUUACCCUUCAGUUGAAGGUUUUAUGAAAAAGGAAUGAAGUCUUUGAAAAAAGACAAAAAUUUACCUCCAGACUGCUUUGAACCUGACAAUGCAACAUAAACUCUUUCCUGGGAUUCCAUCCUGCCAGCCUUGCUGAUUUCAGACUUGUCAACCUCCACAAUCAUGUAAGUUAAUUUUCUAAAAUUCC